CGGGUUAGGACACGAGGUUAUGCGCGGGGCUCUUCCCGGUUCAGUCGCCCUUACUAAGGGAAUCCCUGUUGGUUUCUUUUCCUCCGCUUAUUAAUAUGCUUAAAUUUGGCGGGUAGGUCUCUCCACUCACGAGGUCACAGUUUGGACCAGCCUCGCGUUUUUCACGGACCGGCGGUGGCGCUCGGGGACGCCGCAAGAACCGCGGCGCUCUACGGCACACCGUGUUACCAACACCCUCUCUCACAGCGGAUGGCUUUGAGGGUCACGGCGCCUUAAACAGAAAAGAAAACUCUUUCCCGGACCACCGCCGGUGGGCGCGAGCAGGUUCCCGUUUCCGGGAUCCUCCAUA